rnacentral:rRNA from 1 species
UUUCGCAAUGCCCGAAAGGGUGACGAAGCGACGCCGCGUGUGGGAAGAAGGCCUUCGGGUUGUAAACCACUGUCGGGAGUUAAGAAAUACAAGGAUAUUAAUAGUGUCUUUGUUUGACUAAGGCUCCGGAGGAAGCCACGGCUAACUCUGUGCCAGCAGCCGCGGUAAUACAGAGGCGGCAAGCGUUGUUCGGAAUUAUUGGGCGUAAAGAGCACGUAGGCGGCUGUGUAAGUCGGUUGUGAAAGCCUUCCGCUCAACGGAAGAACAGCAUCCGAUACUACAUGGCUUGAGUGCGGGAGGGGAGAGUGGAACUUCUGGUGGAGCGGUGAAAUGCGUAGAUAUCAGAAGGAACGCCGGCGGCGAAAGCGGCUCUCUGGCCCGUAACUGACGCUGAGUGUGCGAAAGCUAGGGGAGCAAACGGGAUUAGAUACCCCGGUAGUCCUAGCCGUAAACGAUGGGCACUAAGUAGAGGGGUUUU